AGACAGAGGUGGCAAGCGUUGUUAGGAUUUACUGGGCUUAAAGGGCGUGUAGGCGUCCUGGUAAGUCAGAUGAGGAAGCCUUGGGCUCAACCCAAGAAUUGCAUUUGAUACUGCCGGGAUUGAGUCGUGCAUGGGAGGGCGGAAUUCCUGGUGUAGCGGUGAAAUGCGUAGAUAUCAGGAGGAAGGCCGGUGGCGAAGGUGGCCCUCUGGGCAAUGACUGACGCUGAGGCGCGAAAGCGUGGGGAGCAAACAGGAUUAGAAACCCUAGUAGUCC
rnacentral:rRNA from 1 species